rnacentral:misc_RNA from 1 species
GAUUAGGAUACUGUCAGAACCGCCGGGGUGGUCUUUGAGGAAGCGUGUGCAGUCGUAGACAUGGCCGUGGACAAUGAUCCAGGCGGAUUGAGGGGAGUUGUGUUUUUUGACUUCGGAUAAUGAGUAGGUGUUGGAGGUGGUGUUCAUGAAUGGACUGGAUACACUCUUCUUUAGGGUUUGGUUAGAUUCGGAGGACAAUUCUAGAUGUCUCUCUCUGUCCAUCCAUCCCCCGGAUUGGUUUCCGG